GUUUUCCAUUUUUGAACUUUGAUUUUGUUAAUUUUUAGCUUAAAUUUGUUGAAUUGGGGGUUUUAUUAGGGUUUGUGAAUUGGGGGUUUUAUUAUACUUGCUUAUUUGUGUUGUAGGCUUGUUAUUGUGGAUUUCGUUUUAUUGCUUGUGAUGAUUUUGAAAUUGGUUUGUUUCAAUUAUUCUAAUUAAACAUUGAACUCUAUUUUGAAAUUGGUUUGCUUAUUUUGGAGAAGAACCGUAUUUUGUUUUUGUUGUUUUAGUGUAGAACCAAUUUCCAGAAGAUUAUCUAUUGAAUAUUUAUUGCUGUUGGUUUGCUUAUUUUGGAGAAGAACCGAAUAUUUAUUGCUUAUAUUUGUUGUUUUUGUUGUUUGAAAUUGGCUGGGCUUAAAUCUGUGGAGGGAGUUGCAAAAGAGCCUUCGAAUUCAAGUUCAGAUACAAAGAAAAGUGAAAAGAAUUUGACACCGGAAGGAAACCAAGAUUCAAAGAAUCAGAAGCCAAAAACAAAGUCGAGAAGGAAAUCAUCGAAUGGCAGCCUUGGCUCACCCGUAUGUUCCCCAAAGAUGGGAAUUGAAUCUGAAUUUGAUUGCCCCAGAGGAAACCAGAAGUCAAAUCUUAGUAUUGAGUCAUCAUCUCAGGAUUCCGCUGGCAAUCCGAAACAAUCUGGUUGAAAAAAGACAAAGCAGCAUGCUGGAAGUGAGGCAAGACAGAAGAUGAAGAACAAACAAAAACAGCAAAUAGAUUAAAGUUUGGAAGGAAAUGAAGAAGAGAAAGAAUGAGAUAGAAGUUCAGGAGGAAUAUAAAAAUUUGUAAAUUAUAAGUUUUAACAUAAAUACAUAAUUAUCUGAAUGACAAAAGUGUAAUUGUGUCUAACUUAAUUGACCUUCGCUUGCCAUUCUGGUUAGCCAUUGCUUAGACCAA